AUUGAACGCUGGCGGCAUGCCUUACACAUGCAAGUCGAACGGUAACAGGUCUUCGGAUGCUGACGAGUGGCGAACGGGUGAGUAAUACAUCGGAACGUGCCUAGUAGUGGGGGAUAACUAAGCGAAAGAGUGGCUAAUACCGCAUGAGAUCUACGGAUGAAAGCAGGGGAGCGCAAGACCUUGUGCUACUAGACCGGCCGAUGGCAGAUUAGGCAGUUGGUGGGAUAAAAGCUUACCAAGCCGACGAUCUGUAGCUGGUCUGGGAGGACGAUCAGCCACACUGGGACUGAGACACGGCCCAGACUCCUACGGGAGGCAGCAGUGGGGAAUUUUGGACAAUGGGCGCAAGCCUGAUCCAGCAAUGCCGCGUGCAGGAUGAAGGCCUUCGGGUUGUAAACUGCUUUUGUACGGAACGAAAAGCCCCGGGUUAAUACCCUGGGGUCAUGACGGUACCGUAAGAAUAAGCACCGGCUAACUACGUGCCAGCCGCCGCCGUAA
rnacentral:rRNA from 1 species